GUGACAUACCUAUAACUGUUGCUUCGGCGGGUAGGGUCUCCGUGACCCUCCCGGCCUCCCGCCCCCGGGCGGGUCGGCGCCCGCCGGAGGAUAACCAAACUCUGAUUUAACGACGUUUCUUCUGAGUGGUACAAGCAAAUAAUCAAAACUUUUAACAACGGAUCUCUUGGUUCUGGCAUCGAUGAAGAACGCAGCGAAAUGCGAUAAGUAAUGUGAAUUGCAGAAUUCAGUGAAUCAUCGAAUCUUUGAACGCACAUUGCGCCCGCCAGCAUUCUGGCGGGCAUGCCUGUUCGAGCGUCAUUUCAACCCUCAAGCUCUGCUUGGUGUUGGGGCCCUACAGCUGAUGUAGGCCCUCAAAGGUAGUGGCGGACCCUCCCGGAGCCUCCUUUGCGUAGUAACUUUACGUCUCGCACUGGGAUCCGGAGGGACUCUUGCCGUAAAACCCCCAAUUUUCCAAAGGUUGACCUCGGAUCAGGUAGGAAUACCCGCUGAACUUAAGCAUAUCAAUAAGCGGAGGAA
rnacentral:rRNA from 2 species